CAGACACCGCCCUUCAAGCCUUCCUAGCCGAUCGGAGCCGUUAGUACCCGAGCAAAACCGGACAGACCCGAGCGGGACGGAAGGACCGUGCGGCGCCGAACCCAGGGCCAAGCCACUUCUUUGUCUCAGGUUUUUGUCAUAGUGCCCGUGCACUCCCUGGAGUGAAGAGACAGAAAGAGGGAAAAUUAAGCUGGCUACAGUGUUAAAAUGCAUUUGAAAGAAGCAGAAGAAACAACAGUUAACACCAUCACAGAAACUCAAAUGGGACAGCUGCAUCUGGGGACUACAAUGAUGGGACAUGGACGGGAAAUAAACGGACAGAUUCUAGCAAAAUCUGGAAGACUGAUUCUACAGUACUUGGAGGUAUGGAAGGGAGGAGGGAAUAACUGAGGAUGACUCUGCAGUAUGAAUUUGCUGAUGCUGAGCAAGAUGCACUCUGCCUGAAGGCCUUUCCACAUUCUUUACAUUCAUAGGGUCUUUCCCCAGUAUGAAUUGUCUCAUGCAAUGUAAGAUGGGCAAUCUGGCUAAAGGCUUUACUAUAUUCUGUGCACUGGCAAGGUUUCUCUCCUGUAUGAAUUGUCUGAUGUAAGGGAAAGGAUUUACAGUGACUAAAGGCUUUCCCGCAAACAUUACAUUCAUACGGGUUUUCACCAGUAUGACACUUUUGAUGGCAAAUCAGGGGUGCCCUCUGUCUGAAUGCCUUCCCACAUUCCAGACGUUCAUAUGGUCUUUUGCCAGUGUGGAGUCUCUGAUGUUGAACAAGAUAUGAGCCAUCACUGAAGGCCUUCCCACAUUCAACACAUUCAUGAAGGCUUCUCACCAGUAUGAACUCUCUGGUGUUGCACAAGGUGUGUGAUACGAAAGCCUUACCACAUUUGUUACAUUCAUAAGGUUUCUCUCUGGUGUGUAUUUUCUGACGUUGUGCAAGGUGUGCAUUCUGGCUGAAGGUUUUGCUGCAUGCCUUACACUCAUAAGGUCUCUCUCCAGUAUGAAAACUCUGAUGAUGAGCGAGGUGUGUGCUCUGUCAAAAAGCUUUUCCACAUUCCUUACAUUCAUAGGGUUUCUCUCCAGUGUGAACUCUCUGAUGAAGAGGAAAUGAGCCACGAUGGCUAAAGGCUUUUUCACAGAUGCUGCAUUCAUAAGGCUUCUAU